rnacentral:rRNA from 1 species
GACAGAGGAGCCAAGCGUUGUCCGGACUGACUGGGCGUAAAGCGCCUGCAGGCGGUCGUGCGCGUGGGGUGUGAAAGCGCUCGGCUUAACUGAGCGAGGCCAUCCCAUACGGCGCGACUCGAGCCGUCCAGAGGCCGGUGGAAUUGCCGGUGUAGUGGUGAAAUGCGUAGAGAUCGGCAGGAACACCAGUGGCGAAGGCGACUACCUGGCCUGUUCUUGACGCUGAGGCGCGAAAGCUAGGGGAGCAAACGGG